GGGUAUGUGGCGCAAUCUGGCAGACGCGUCGGUCUUAGAAACCGAAUGUUGAGAGUUCGAGUCUCUCCAUACCCA
rfam:TNVERIFIED: Cronobacter phage S13, complete genome.